GGAUGUGAGGGCGGUCUGGCUGUGACAUCUGUUAACCCACUGGUUACCAGGAUUGAUUUGGCUGAUCUGGCUGGUUAGGCGGGUGACCCUUUCUUCUUUCACUGCUCCAUGUGUGUCCCUCCUGAAGCUGUGUGCUCCAUGGAAGAGGAUGGCCUUUCCAGAAUAGAGAGGAACUGGUCUUCAGUUGAGGGUAUAUGAGUAACCACACUCCCAUGCUAGGACCUCCAGACAAGCUCUUAAGAUUCAGUCUCGGGGACCAGGGAGACAGCUUAAUAUAACAGAGCACAGAAUUUGCAUGCCUG
ensembl:misc_RNA 7SK 7SK RNA